rnacentral:rRNA from 1 species
AGGACGAACGCUGGCGGCGUGCUUAACACGUGCAAGUCGAACGGAUCACUUUCGGGUGGUUAGUGGCGAACGGGUGAGUAACACGUGGGUAACCUGCCCCUCACUCUGGGAUAACUCCGGGAAACCGGGGCUAAUACUGGAUAUGACCUCAUGCUGCAUGGUGUGGGGUGGAAAGUUUUUCGGUGGGGGAUGGGCCCGCGGCCUAUCAGCUUGUUGGUGGGGUGAUGGCCUACCAAGGCGUCGACGGGUAGCCGGCCUGAGAGGGCGACCGGCCACACUGGGACUGAGACACGGCCCAGACUCCUGCGGGAGGCAGCAGUGGGGAAUAUUGCGCAAUGGGCGGAAGCCUGACGCAGCGACGCCGCGUGAGGGAUGACGGCCUUCGGGUUGUAAACCUCUUUCAGCACAGACCAAGGCCAUUCUUUGGGUGGUUGAGUGUAUGUGCAGAAGAAGCACCGGCUAACUACGCGCCAGCAGCCGCGGUAA